UUCCAUCACAACAACAUUGAGUACAGCCGUGUAGAAGUAAAAAGCUCAUGGAAUAAAAUAAGAUGCAACUAGUAAAAUAAGCAACCAAAUUCAAUUCAAAUUGGAAAUGACAGUACACAACACGUUAACAGCAAAGAAGGAAGUGUACGUAUUCUUCCACAUGUUUAGAACAAUAACUUCACUCUUGGUUCAAGCAUUAAUAAACAAACCAAACCUAUUCAAACUAAACCCCAUUCCAUUAUGCAGACAGAGAAUCCAAACCAGAGUUCUUGCUUGUGGUGGCAGCUAACGCAUUUCUCCUCUCUUGCUCUCCAAACAAAUUGUUUUUUUCUUCAGAGAACUCCAGCCCCUCAGAGUAGUCUCCAGACUCCAAGUAGCAGCCCUCCAACAAAGACGUUCACAGCCAAUAGUUUCAAAACCAAAAACCCAGAGUGUGUGUAGCCGUGAGUUCUGUAACUAAGAGUAGUGUCCAGAACCUCUGAAUGUAACCGAAUGUGUAUAGUCGUUCCUCCUUUUGAGCUUGUAAGUCUCUUCUUUCCAAAAAGGAAAACCCAGCCAGCUAUGAGCCAUCUCUUUCCGUUCAAUCAUGGCCUGCUCUCCACGUCCUCUGCUAAGCUUUUCAGUGAGGAUAAUAUUCCCUUCAGUGGCUGCUCCCGCUUUUUAUCCCUUCAUAUAUUUUGUUGAUCCUUAGUUGUCCAAGGGCCGUGUGUUUUAAUCUUUGCUGCACUGUGGCUUCUCUAAUGAAAGGGUUUUAACCGAGAGGUAGUGAAGUAUUUGCUUCCAACUGUGAUCUUUCUUGGCUGUUGUAUUUGCUGCCAUGCACCUCAAAGAAACUUGUGACCUCUACUUUUCUCCAUGCAGCUUCUCAGGUUGGUCCGUGAAGUGUAUGGGCGUGCUCUGCUUCCAGCUAUAAAACAAUCAAACUAAUUAAAUAUGGCUUAAUCUCCCAAGCCGUGACACAUGUGUGCUUGUGUUGUGCUCUUUCCGUAACAGCCCCAAAGGAGAAUGUUUCUCCCAAACCAUUUGAAAACCACGUUCUCAGCAGAAAGUUGGAAUGCCCACUUGAAUAUUGCCUAAAAUGAAUUGUGGGGGCCGUGUGCUUUUAUUCUUUUCAGAGCAAUGACACUUCAAAAACCACUCAGCAGAAUUCCGAACGUGAUUUGUUCCCAAGCAUAAAAAAUGUGGCAGCACAUUUGUUAUCUUUCAGCUAUAAAACCGUGACACCACCUACAAACAAAAAUAUUCCACUCCUAAUUUUUCACUUCCACACACAAAAUAAAUCAAUCCAGUGUAUCUUCUUUCUAUUAAUUAACACAGUGUAAAAGUGAAUAUUCUUCCAAACGUCCCAAUUUAUAAUUCCAAAAUUUUCACUAUAAUUAAUAAUGCAAAUAAUUAAC
rnacentral:sRNA from 1 species